rnacentral:tRNA from 1 species
GAAUCCAUGGCUGAAUGGUUAAAACGCCCAACUCAUAAUUGGUGAAUUCGUAGGUUCAAAUUAUUACUGGAUGCA